rnacentral:ncRNA from 1 species
AGGUCUUGGUCUUAAACCUCACGUUGUCUAUUCCCAUAUCCAUACAUGCAAGCCUCACCAUACCGGUGAAACAGCCUACUUACCAACACAUAGAGCCGACAUCAGGUAAAACUACCCACAACGUCAAGCAACCAGCCACACCCCCACGGGUUUACAGCAGUAAUUAAUAUUGGGCCAUAAACGUAAGAUCGACCUAGUAAUGGGAUAAUAUGGGCCGGUUAAUCUCGUGCCAGCGACCGCGGUUAUACGACAGGCCCAAGACAACAUCUCCGGCGUAAAGCACGACUAAAAAAUAGCCAACAAUUAAGACAGAGGAAAAACUAGGCUGUAAAAAGCCAUAAGACACACAAAUCACCCGCUUAACCAAAAGCCACUUUAACUCGUGAAAGCAGGGGUACAAACUAAGAUUAGAUACCUUACUAUGCCCUGCUGUAACACGGCAAUCAAAUAACAAAUUGCCCGCCAAAUAACUACGAGUAAAAACUUAAAAUUUAAAAGACUUGACGGUACUUCACAACAACCUAGAGGAGCCUGUCUAAUAACCGAUAACCCACGAUUAACCCAACCCGCUUUUGCCAAUCAGUCUAUAUACCGCCGUCGCCAGCUUACCUUGUGAAAGAAACAAAGCAAGCCAAAUAGUAACACACUAGCACGACAGGUCGAGGUGUAACAAAUAAGCGGGUCAAAGAUGGGCUACAUUUCCUUAAACAGGAAAAACGAAUAAAGUAUGAAAAACAACCUGAAGGCGGAUUUAGCAGUAAGAUAGAAAUAGAACACCUAUCUGAAAUAAACGCAAUGAAGUGCGUACACACCGCCCGUCAUCCCUGUAGAACCAACAUUAAACCUACAUAAACAAACAAAUAAACUAAAACAGGGCAAGUCGUAACACGGUAAGCGUACUGGAAAGUGUGCUUA